UUGACCUCGGAUCAGGUAGGGAUACCCGCUGAACUUAAGCAUAUUCAAUAAGCGGAGGAAAAGAAACCAACAGGGAUUGCCUCAGUAACGGCGAGUGAAGCGGCANCAGCUCAAAUUU
rnacentral:rRNA from 1 species